AUGUUCAACUGCCACAUAAAUGUCGAGGUGUGCUCCAGCAUCAAGGCCGUCAAGUACCUUUACAAAUACGUAUACAAGGGUCACGAUCGAGCUUCAUUCAGCAUUGACCAGCCUGACAGCAACGGGGUUGUAGACGAGAUUAAAAGGUACGUUGAUGCGAGAGGCGAGGCCAGAGAAGUCACCGAGGAGUCCUCCAUCGAGGUUGACGCGAAUGAUGCUGGUUUAGCGUCCUCGCUAAACCCUGAGCAGAGGCUUGCAUACGACGAGAUACUGGCAACAGUCGAUGCUGGUGAUGGGGGUGUAUUCUUUGUCGAUGGCCCGGGAGGCACUGGGAAGACCUUCCUAUACAAGGCA
rnacentral:rRNA from 1 species